UACGGGGGGGGCAAGCGUUGUUCGGAAUUACUGGGCGUAAAGGGCGCGUAGGCGGCCACCUAAGUCAGACGUGAAAUCCCUCGGCUCAACCGGGGAACUGCGUCUGAUACUGGGCGGCUUGAAUUCGGGAGAGGAAUGCGGAAUUCCAGGUGUAGCGGUGAAAUGCGUAGAUAUCUGGAGGAACACCGGUGGCGAAGGCGGCAUUCUGGACCGACAUUGACGCUGAGGCGCGAAAGCCAGGGGAGCAAACGGG
rnacentral:rRNA from 1 species